rnacentral:lncRNA from 1 species
CACAGAGGAAGCAGCUCUGUCCCACCAUGCAGUGCGUCAGUUCCAGGAGGAGGGCGCAUGGGGUGAGCUGAGGGUAGAAGGCUUUUGUUCCAAAGCCCCUCUGACCUGAACACACACACACUCAUAGCGUGCCCUGAAUCUGGCUCAGAAGCCGUCGCUCCGAAGAAGAUGACUGUCCCCUGUGAGGAUCUGUCCUGGGAAUGAGGAGAUAGGACUGGUUGAAGCAAAUGCUAAGAAGCUCCCUCCUGAGGACUGAGGGACCAGUAAUGGUUCUGCUUCAACACCAGAGGGGUGCAAUCCCAGCAGAAAAGGAACACUGUCUCUAAUGUUGCAACAAAGUAACCAGCACGAAGUUAGCAAGAAGAAAUCACUCUUGCAGCUGCUGAACACUGAUCCCUACCUACUUUAGACUUAGAUCCAGAACCGAGUCAGCACAGUGACUUAUGUCACUCCCACUGGCUUAAGAGAACGACAUAUAGACAAGAUGCUACCUCCCAUGGAAAGGCCCCUAUACAUAAAGUCACUUUAUUUCUCUGUCAUAUCCCUGAAAAUAAUUUAUGUAAUUAUGCUGUUAAUGAAGUCUAGCAACUCAAGGUUUGUUUAUUGACUAUUACUUGACGCUACCAAAGCAUGUGUGAAUACCCAUCCACACAAGACUCCUACAAGAUGGCGCCUGUUGAUUCUCCUUCAUAGGAAAGGGAAGAGAUUCCAACCACUCCCUCUCCUAUGCCCACUCCCAUAUAUGUGUAAUUUCUUCCCACUCCUUCCAGUCUCAGAAGGGGUAAGAUGAACUGAGAAGGGACCCUAUUUGUACAAAUAGGUUUCAGGAUGUUGUCAUAUGUGCUUCCUGGGACUCUGUGGUGAUAACAGCUGUUUUAAGGUCACUCAUGCACAAACCUCCAUCCACGCUUUGAUAAAUAAACCCACCGUCCAACCAAUC